AAACGCUGUGAGCGAAAUGAGCACGGGGAGCACACCUCAAAGAGGCUAACUUGAGCCUAUUCAAGUUAAAAUAGACUCGACUAAGCCACCGAGGAGCUCCUCCGGAUCUAAAGAACGAUGGAACUAAAAACAAUUAAUUGGAAAGGAUAUUUUGAUUUCACUAUAAAACACUAGAAGAAUUGAACUUUAAAAUAUCCUAACUGUGCAAAUGGAGACACCUGUUUGUGAAAAUGAAGUGAAGACAAAAACCAGCCCCUGAUGGUGGUUAGAAGGUACCUUAGUUGGUUAGAGCCACUGUUGGUUUUAAGUCUUAGGUAAAGGAGAAAGAAACGGAGAAAAAUAAGUUUUAAUGCCUCCAAGGCUAUAUAACCCAAGAGGCUAAAAACCAUGGUGGAGGGGCUGUCUGUCAAAGGAAGAGAGCGGAUGGCCCAUUACAGGCUUUCUAGCUAUCUCUUCUGACCAUUGUCAUGUCUACCCACACAUGUCAACUGUGAUGAUAAACAUCAGCCUCAUCAUGAGUAAAUGAAACUUUGAAGCAAAAAA